AGUAGAGUCUUAUCAUUACAGUUCUCUAAAUUCUAUGAAACCUCACUCUUAGUAUUGAGGAAUUACUUGCUGUUUUAGGGGCUUCCACUGUUCAUUUUCUCCAAACAGACAUUGCCUUAGAGUGGACAAAGUCCGAGCUGAAUAACUGCAUGGAAACUGCACAAUCCUAGGCACUUCAGAAUCAAUUAGCCCUAAGGCCCCAGGGCCAAUGGAGAUAGCCAGGAAUUGCUGGCUGCCUGAACCAACUGUGUAGACCACCAAUGACUUUCAACAUCAAGCACAAGUGUUUCCUGCAGAGCCGGGAGGCAAACCCGGCCAUUCCAGCUUCCCGGCUCCAGCUGAUCCUCAUAGGACUUGCCCCAAACCCUCGACUUACCUAUUGGAACAGGACUCAGUGUGUCAGCUACAACUUGCUAAGUCCUCAAAUUAUAAUCAGCACUGUGUUACUGAAAUAUACUGCCUUGGGAAUGGCACAUUUUAAUUUUAAAUCGGCUUUACAAAUAUAAGCUAACACAUGCUUCAUCUAAAUGUAAUAUUUAUUGACCAAUGACCUGAACAAUAACAACAACAACAACAAUAACAACAAACAAGAAAACAAUCCCAUUUAUGAUAGCAUCAAAGAAGUAAAAUAUUUAGGAAUAAAUUUAACGAAGGAAGUGAAAGACCUGUAUACUGAAAGCUAUAAAAUAUUGAUGAAGGAAAUUAAAAGGAUACAAAUAAGUGCUCAUGGAUCAGAGUAAUUAAUAUUGUGAAAAUGGCCAUACAACCUAAAGCAAUAUAUAUAUUCAAUACAAUCCCUAUAAAAAUCCCAAAGAUAUUUUUCUCAGAAAUAGAAAAAGCAAUUCUAAAAUUUGUAUUUAUCCACAAAAGAUCCUGAAUACCCAAAGCAAUUCUGAGAGGAAAAACAAAGUUGGUGGCAUCACACUUCCUGAUUUGAAAUUAUAUUACAAAGCUAUAGUAAUCAAAACAGUAGGAUACUGGCAUAAAAACAGAAAUAUAGACCAGUGGAACAGAAUAGAGUCCAGAAAUAAUUGCAAACAUAUAUGGUCAACCAAUUUUCAGCAAGGGCACCAAAAAGACACAAUGGGGAAAGGAUAGUCUCUGCAAUAAAUGGUGCUAGGGAAGCUAGAUUUCCACUUGCAAAAGAGUGAAAUUGGACUCUUAUUUUAUACCAGAUACAAAACUCAACUCAAAAUGGAUAAGAGACCCAAAAGUAAGACUGAAAUAAUAAAACUCCUAAAAGAAAACACAGGAGAAAAGAUCUUGACAUUGGCCUUGGCAAUGAUUUAUUGUGUAUUACACCAAAAGCUCAGGCUACAAAAGCAAAAAUAAAUACAUGGAACUACAUCAAACUAAAAAGCUGCACAGUGAACGAAACAAUAAAAAAUAGGAAAGGCUGACCAGGCGUGGUGGCUCAGGGCUGCAAUCCCAGCACUUAGGGAGGCCGAGGAAGGUGGAUCACUUGAGGUCAGGAGUUCAAGACCAGCCUGGCCAACAUGGUGAAACCCCAUCUCUACUAAAAAUACAAAAAUUAGCCGGGUAUGGUGGCAGGUGCCUGUAAUCCCAGCUACUCAGGAGGCUGAGGCAGGAGAAUCGCUUGAACCUGGGAGGCAGAGGUUGCAGUGAGCUGAGAUCAUGCCACUGCACUCCAGCCUGGGUGACAAAGUGAGACUCUGUCUCAAAAAAAUAAAGUAUGAAAGGUUAACCUACAGAUUAGGAAAAAGUAUUUGCAAACCAUAUGUCAGAUAAGUGGUUAAUAUUCAAGAUUUGUAAAGAACUCAUACACUCUGGUAGCAGGAAAAUAUAUAAGCUGAUUACAAAAUGGGCAAAGGACUUGGAUAGACAUUUCUCCAAAGAUGAUAUUAAAAAUGGCCAACAGGUACAUGAAAAGGUACUCAACAUCCCUAAUAAUGAGGAAAAUGCAAAUAAUAACCACCAUGAGAUACCACUUCACACUUGUUAGGAUUGCUACUAUCAGACAACAUAACAAGUGUUGGUGAGGGUGUGAAGAAAAGGGAAUACUUUUGUAUACUGUUUGUGGGAAUGUAUAAUACUGUAGUCAUUAUGAAAAACAACAUGGAGGUUCCUAAAGAAAUUUAAAGUAGAACUACCAUAUGAUGCAGCAAUCUCUUCCUUUCAUACCCAAAGGAAAUGUAAUCACCACCGCAUAAAGAUGUCUGUACUGCCAUGCUCAUUGCAGCAUUUUUCACAAUAGCCAAGAUAUGGAAACAAUCUAGAUAUACCAAUAGAAUAUCAUUCAUCUGUAAAAGAGAAAGAGAUCCUGCCAUUUGUCACAACAUGGAUGGAUCUGGAGGACAUUCUGCUAAGUGAAAUAAGCCAGACACAGAAAAAUAUUGCAUGAUCUCUCACUUAUAUGUGGAAUCUUUAAAUAAAGAUCAGAUAUUGGCCAGCGAUGGUGUUUUAUACCUGAUAAUCCCAGCACUUUGGGAGGCCAAGGUGGGAGGACUGCUUGAGCCCAGGAGUUCAAGACCCCUGGGGUCAAGAAAGUGAGACCCUCCCCCCAAUCUCUACAGAAAAG
rnacentral:lncRNA from 10 species